AUUUUUAUCAUAUCUCCUAAUAACAUUUGACAUACAGCAUACUGUAUUUUGUCUGUAAACCUGUGAUUAUAUUAGCUACACUGAGUUAUUUUUUUGUUUUCCUUCAUACUUUCAGUUCUUAACUUCACCUGAAGAUUCUUUCCAAUAUACCAACGGAAAGACAUUUAAAAAUGGAAAAAAAAAUGGAAUCUGCUUUUAGAUGAAGAUAAGAGAAUGUCCACUCUGUCAUUGUUUUCACAGAAAGUUCUCAUAGACUGGAAUUGCAUUCAUGGAAGGCACCUUCCUUUUGCUCACUGGGAUCAACCAUACGCACCAUCUUUUUCUGAUCCCAUAGACUAAGCAGGAUGCUUCAUACUAAAGUGAAACCUAACCCUGUCUACUCCCAGGCAAAUGGCACUGGAAUUUAAUUCAUUCUACAUAUGCUGUGGGAGUCCUGUAUCAUUCUGUAUCUUGCCAGGAGAACAGUUGCUACAGUGGAGCGGCAAAAUGUUUGAUUAGGCUAUCCAUUUAGCUGAAGAUGCAAGAACUGGUUUACUACAUUCAUCAACAAGAAGAAAAUGUAAUCACAUGGUGCACGUAGUUCUUUAAAUGGGACUUGAUGAUAGCCAUAUUUAUGAAGAUUGCUCCACCUUCUUCUGCAUAAGGAGCCAGAAUCAUAGGGGAAAUGACUGUCAAGAGAGUUGGCAAUGUCAGAUGCUUUUGGAACUGCUCUGUUCUGUUUUCAAGAAGGGAGCAGAAGUGUAUUAGAAAGGAUACGCCCCUGAAGGAUGAUCAGGUGUUUAUAGUAACCUCCAAAACCGAAGCAAUUGCUUAGAAUUUUCAUAUGUCUAGUAUGGGGUUUUGAAGAACAGAGAAUCUAGAUCUGAGGAGGAUGCCUCAUUAGAAGUGAAAACAAAUUCACUAAGAAUGUACUCUUGUACAAGGAGGAGGCAUGGGACGGAAGAGCUUAUAAUCAAUGAACCUGGGACUGAUACUUUGACUGUUGAGACUCCAAAGAAAAGAAAAACUGCACUGGCUGACAUCCUUGGGCAGACAUUCAACUGUAGCUCCAGAGCUCCUUUGGUGACUGCUGCUUCACAAGCAGAAAAGGAGAUGAAACAAUACCCACAGUGUCCACCUCUAUCCCUUUGGAUUGGUGGAAAUCGCAGGCACAAGUAUACCCAAUCCUUGCAAAUCUAGCAAAAGUAUUUAUAUGUAUCCCGGACAUGAAUGUGUCUGCAGAAAAAACCUUUUCCACUGAUAGUGGCAUAAUCUCCACUCAAUGGAGCACACUCUCCACUGAGCAUGUUGACCAGCUACUGUUCCUUAAUAAGAGCAGGCAUGUUUGAAAUUUAAACAUAUCCAAAGAUGUUAUAUGUUUGUUAGGUUGAACAGCAACAUUAAAUUAUACAAACGUCUAACUAUUCAAGUUAAUCACAAGCAAAUUUAAUUGUAAUUCUGUGACUUUUUUAUGUAAAUUCAGCCUUUUCCAAGUUACCAGAAUGUACCAUUUUCAAGCUUUAGUUAAUAAAAUAUA